AUUGAACGCUAGCGGGAUGCUUUACACAUGCAAGUCGAACGGCAGCGCGGACUUCGGUCUGGCGGCGAGUGGCGAACGGGUGAGUAAUGUAUCGGAACGUGCCCAGUAGCGGGGGAUAACUACGCGAAAGCGUAGCUAAUACCGCAUACGCCCUACGGGGGAAAGCAGGGGAUCGUAAGACCUUGCACUAUUGGAGCGGCCGAUAUCGGAUUAGCUAGUUGGUGAGGUAACGGCUCACCAAGGCGACGAUCCGUAGCUGGUUUGAGAGGACGACCAGCCACACUGGAACUGAGACACGGCCCAGACUCCUACGGGAGGCAGCGGUGGGGAAUUUUGGACAAUGGGGGCAACCCUGAUCCAGCCACCCGGGGUGUGGGAUGAAGGCCUCGGGUUGUAAAGCACUUUUGGCAGGAAAGAAACGUCGCGGGCUAAUACCCCGUGGAACUGACGGUACCUGCAGAAUAAGCACCGGCUAACUACGUG
rnacentral:rRNA from 1 species